rnacentral:ncRNA from 1 species
AUAAAUAUUUAUGAUUUUGAAAAUUUACUAAUAAUUUAUUUUAUAUAUAAAUUUUAGUAUUAAUUUUUAAUUAUUUUAAUAAUAUUUAAAUUAAUUAAAUUGUAGUAAAUAAAAUUAAAAAUUUAAGAAAUUAAGAUUUAGUAAUAUUAAAAUUAUUAACAAAUUUUGUGCCAGCAGUUGCGGUUAUACAAAAAUUAAAAUAAAUUUUUUUAGUUUUAAAUAGAUAAAAUAAAAAUUUAAAUAAAAUAUUAAAUUAUUAGGUGAAAUUUUAAUUUAAUUAAAAUUUAUUUUUUUUUAUGAUUUUGGAAAUUUUAUUAUAAACUAGGAUUAGAUACCCUAUUAUUAAAAAUUUAAAUUUAAAAUACUAAAAUAUUAAAUAAUUAAUUAUUGAAACUUAAGUAAUUUGGCGGUAUUUUAGUUCAUUUAGAGGAAUCUGUCUAGUAAUUGAUAAUUCACGAAUAAAUUUACUUAAUUUUUUUUAUUUUGUAUAUCGUUGUUAAAAAAAUAUUUUAUAAUAAUAAUAAUAUUUAAAAAUUAUGAUAAAAAAUUAAUUCAGAUCAAGAUGCAGAUGAUAAUUAAGAAUAUGAUGGAUUACAAUAAAUUUAUUUAAAUGAAUAUUAUUUUGUAAAAUGUAAUUGAAGGUGGAUUUAAAUGUAAUUUUAUUUAUUUUAAUAAAAUGAUUUAAAAUUAAAAUAUGUACAUAUUGCCCGUCGCUUUCAUUUUAAAAUUGGAAUAAGUCGUAACAAAGUAGAGGUACUGGAAAGUGUUUCUAGAAAGAU